GUAGGUGAACCUGCGGAAGGAUCAUUAACACGAAUACAUCCAUAUUCACACUCAACGGCAACCCUUUAUUCUCCCUACUCUAACACGCGAUCUUUAUCUUUGAUAAAAAGAAGAUAAAUGCUCUGUGCAGAGCAGGCUAUCCGCUUUUUCCUUCAAUAGAAGGAAAGUGCCCCAAUUUUAACCAAAACCCCAAUCACCUUUCCGCUUGUGCGUGUCCCUUGUGUCCGCAGAAGCGACAUUGUGAUUGUUC
rnacentral:misc_RNA from 1 species